GGGCGCGGGGGGGCCGGAGGGGAUAUAGAAGUGGGAGAAUAAAUUCCCGCGUGGAUAAAAACCGACAGGGGAAAAAAAACUCCCAAACAACCGACACAACAAAACAAACACCGGACGAGUGAAACGUUAACAAAGCACAGAUUCCCGCAAACAGGAAUAGAAUAAAAUACACUGAUAGAAACGUGAUAAAUCCUCCCCGCCGAGCGUGGGGGGCGGCCAGUGUGAGGGGCCGGGGCGGUGCUGGAGGGCGAGCGCCGCCCGCCGGCGGUGGGGAACGGCGGGGGUGUGGAGCCAGGAUCCCCUUAUGGAGCCGGGAUCUCCCAUAAGGAGCCUGGAGCUCCUCCGUAGAGCCGGGAUCUCCGUUAUGGAGCCGGGAUCUCCGUUAUGGAGCCGGGAUCUCCGUUAUGGAGCCGGGAUCUCCCCUGAGGAGCCUGGAACUCCCCCAUAGAGCCGGGAUCUUCCCUGAGGAGCCUGGAACUCCCCGUAGAGCCGGGAUCUCCCUUGUGGAGCCGGGAUCUCCCUUGUGGAGCCGGGAUCUCCCUUGUGGAGCCGGGAUCUCCCUUUUGGAGCCGGGAUCUCCCCUGAGGAGCCUGGAACUCCCCCGUAGAGCCGGGAUUUCCGUGUGGAGCCAGGAUCUCCUCUGAGGAGCCGGGCUCUCUCUGUGAAGCCGGGAUCUCCCCUGUGGAACCGGGAUCUCCCUGCAAAGCCGGAAUCUCCCUGUGGAGCAGCACUGAGGGGAUGGUAGCGGCGCAGGUGGCGUGCCACUGACGUUGAAGUUGUGCCAUUGAAUGCAACCAGACUCCAGGGUUGAAAACAAGGGGAGAGCAAUUAGACAGGUUUUACAGCCAGCUCUUGCAACCAGUGAAUCAACUGGAGAAGGCAGCAGUUGUUUGAGAUUUGUCAUCCCAUUGCCUACGUGUACAGUGCAUGAUCAAGAAAAGGGGACACACCUGUCUCCAGGAAGAGAGAGAGCAAGACCUGACAAGGCUGGUAAAAUUAAGUGAAGGGUGAGGAAGGAACACGGGAGAAGAAAGGAACUCUCACGUGAAAAAAAUAAAGUUGUCUCCUAAUAUUCUGGAAUGCCCUGCUGCAGACAUCCACAGGAGACUUCUCAGCACACACAGUCUCGCAGGUCACCCUGCCAGCAAUGACGUGGAGGUAGCUUAUCACUAUGAGAUGGAUCAUCAUCUUCAAGGCUUGAUUUCACCCAUUCCUCUCAUCAGGUAAAGGCAGGAAUAACCUGUCCCAGUGCUUGCAGUUCUGCAACCCAUUCGUGAGAACGUGGUCACUGUGGGGAUGGAGAGAGACGCCAGGCAACAGAACAGUGCCUUGUUCUCACUUUUGCAUUUUCCUUUGGUAAAGAGGGCCCUCAACACUGAUUGCUUCAGGCUUCUGAUCUGCCCCUGUCAUGCCAAGUUGCAAUUAAUAUAAUGCAACAUUAUCAAUCAAAGGUACAAUAAACGCUGACAAACUGCAAACUUUUGAAACAGCGACUGAUUAUGUGUCUGAGGAACAGAUUGUUUCACAGAUGAAAGCAUGAAAUGGCUUUUUUUUUUUUUUGAAGAGAGUAAACAUGAGAAAUACAUUAAAUACUUUGAACCUACAAAAUCAGAGAUGCUAGGCUCAGGAGAAAUUCUUCGGAGCAAAUACCAUUGAGGCAGGUUGUUCUGCUUAUAGUAAAGGAUAUUAUUAAACUGCUUAAUAGAACAAAAUCGUGAAGUAAUCAUUGUGAGCAAUAACAAACUUGUGUAGCUUGUAUAGUUACACAGAUGGAGAAAUUAUUGCCCUUGUUUAUGUGAGCUAGAUGUGAUCGUGUGUCAUCAGUCCUUGAGAACAAAUCAUAAAGCUUAUGCAAGAAAAGCAUAACUAAAACAGAAAUAGAAGGAAGAACUGACCAUGAAUCCAAAGGUACCAAAACUUGGGGUAUAUUAUGUAGUUACUAAGCAAAAGAAGUAGAAAUAUUUAAACAUUUUGAUAUGGAAAACUAAUAAAUAAAAUAAAGAGGCAAAGUGAAGCAUGAAAUGAGCUGACAUGAAAGGAAAUAGCUACAAGUAAUGCUGACAUGUGGAUACGUGGUAAUGAAAAUUCACUGAAAAAGUGAAGAAACACCAUCAACACAAAUAAUUAAUGACUACCAAUUAGAAUUAAUACUAAAAGAGCCUAUAGCCUAGACUAACAGAAGUGAGAAGAAAUUUCAUUUAUGUACAAAAGUGUAGUUUUGUGCUUGGGAACAAAUGACACCACUUUAUGCUAGAACCUCGAUAGCUUGACAUGACAGAGGAGGAAACCAAAAUACACUCAUCAAAUUCACACUUCUUAAGAACUGCUGACAUAAGGUAGUUAUGAGAAAAACAAAUAUAGGCCUAAGCUGCCAUCAAGAGAUCUGUUUUCAGUAGAGGUAUGAAAAUAUUUUUGCUGUGUAAGAUCUCAGUGAAACUUCAUCUGGAAUAUUGUAUAAAGUUAUGAAUUGAAUCUGAAAAACAUGCAAAGAUGGGGUUCUGGAAUGGAUAAGAAGAGAUUCUUUACAGAAGAGAUUCUUUAGACAGAACAUGGAUUUUCUAGCCUGGUAAAAUGAAAGCUGAAACAGGAUAAGAUUGCUCUCUACAAAUGUAUCACUGCAGGAAUGGUUUGUUGGCUGAAAAGGCAAGUGCUGGCAGAGAAACAAAGGUGUAUACUGGCAGAUGCAUUUAGACUGAAAAUUAGAGGACAAUUAAAGGAAGGUUAGAAGAAGCAAAGUACAGCUGUGUUAAAAAUCGAACACAGUCAUUUUACUUUUGUGACCCAGUGCCUGGGAGAGCUGGGCACCAAGAGCCCAUUAGGCUCCCUUUAAUCCUCUGUCCCUAACAAGGCUACCUGUCUUAUGACUUUUUCCAGUCAGUCUGCUGUUCCUGAUUGAGCAAAAACUUUCACAUCUUUAAUAUCUGCUUUCUUUCAACAAGUCUAUCCUGUACAAAAAUUUGUCCCUAACUGAGCUGUUUUAUUUUAAUCAUAUGACCCAGGCUGCCACAUGAUGUGGUGACCCAAGCCUCACAUGAUCAAGCUGUAACUAAACUUCCAUCGUUCCUCUAGAGGAUCACUUCACCCUUCAGCACUCCUCACUCAGCCAUUCCUAGCAACUGUUUCUAUCAUCCACAGGUUUAUUGAUAUAUUCAAGGUACUAAAUAAUAAUUAAAUGUAUUGAUAUGCCAAAAGGCAAUUGCAUCAGAAAAUUUCAAUAAAAAAGAAGAGAGAAAAUAUCAAACAAAAAUACCACUAAUAUUAAGCUGACAGGACUUGGCACAGUAGCCAGUAUAGUUAAGAGGUGUUUUAAUUAUUUUUUUCAAAAUAAGGAGAACGAAAUGAAGUUUCAUAGGUAGAUCUCACAACGGGUAUUUUUGCUGCUUUUAAGUGACGUGGCAAGAACGCAAGAGGAGAACUAAUGUUUGUGUGUAGUCAUGCAGGAAAAGAUAACAAUCAGUCAACAGGAACAUCAUAAAUUUCAACAAAGGGAAAUGUUCCUCCCUCCACUGGGGAGGAAAAACGCAAUGCACCGGGACAGACUGGGGACCAGGCAGGUGGAAAGCAGCUUUGUGGGAAAGGCCUUGGGUCAGCACACUGACUGUGAGCCAGCAAUGUGCCCUCGUGGAAAGAAGGCCAACAGCCUCCUGGACUGCAUCAGGAAGAGCAUUGCCAGCAGGUCGAGGGAGUUGAUGCUUCCCCUCUACUCAGUGCGGUUGAGACAUUUCUGGGCUCCCAGUACAAGAAAGACUGGGACACACUGGA